UCCUACGGGGGGCAGCAGUGAGGAAUAUUGGUCAAUGGGCGGAAGCCUGAACCAGCCAAGUCGCGUGAGGGAAUAAGGCCCUACGGGUCGUAAACCUCUUUUGCCGGGGAGCAAGGGCCGGGACGCGUCCCGGCCCGGAGAGUACCCGGAGAAAAAGCAUCGGCUAACUCCGUGCCAGCAGCCGCGGUAAUACGGAGGAUGCGAGCGUUAUCCGGAUUUAUUGGGUUUAAAGGGUGCGUAGGCGGAAUGCCAAGUCAGCGGUAAAAUCGCGGGGCUCAACCUCGCUCCGCCGUUGAAACUGGCGU
rnacentral:rRNA from 1 species